UACGUAGGCAGCGAGCGUUGUUCGGAAUUACUGGGCGUAAAGAGUGUGUAGGCGGUGCUCCCAGUCUGUUGUGAAAUCUCCCAGCUUAACUGGGAGGGUGCAGCGGAAACUAGAGUGCUUGAGGACUGGAGAGGAGACUGGAAUUUACGGUGUAGCAGUGAAAAUGCGUAGAGAUCGUAAGGAAGACCAGUGGCGAAGGCGGGUCUCUGGACAGUUCCUGACACUGAGGCACGAAGGCCAGGGGAGCAAACGGG
rnacentral:rRNA from 1 species